CACGAGAGAGAAAAGAGAGAGAGAGCGCUCUGUCCCAAACGGAAGUUAGGGCAGAUGGGGCAAGACAAUAGCUCCAGUGAGAAGUGACAACCACAGAAUCACGCCCUAGUUUCCCUGGAAACGACCAAAGCCUCUGCAGAGUCGGUUUUGAAAGAAGGUUUGACAAAGCCUCUUAGCAGAAAGUCUCUGGACUUUGCGCACAUUACUAGUAGGGGCUGCGGAUUUUGGAACUUACAACCGAAGGAGAUCAUCUUUAAAGUGCAUUUUCCCAAGAAUAUUGUGAAAGAUGACGCAAGAGAAGAUGCCAUCAGUUGAGCCACAUAAAGAUAUAAAGAUAUGGAGGAAAGUCACCAGCGAGAUCAGCGAUUUACCAGAUUCGAUGGGGGGCUCUCUUUUGAUAGGUUGUGAUAUAAGAAACAUGACUGCUGAAACAAUGGAGAUUAUAAGCAAUGAGGAGGUCAGUGUUGUAAACCAAGUUGAUAAUAGUUCUAUAAUCAUCGACAUCGAUGAUCAGACCCCCACAGUUGCAUAUGUUCAGGUCUCGAACACAACUCCACUGAAAUGUUGAUAUGAGUGGAUCAGCACCCUCACCAUCGACCAACAGUUGUGAAACCACGGAACUCGGAGAUCAAACCCCACUGGUUGGACCUCCCGAGGAUAAUGAUGAUCUAGAUGGAUCACAAAGUAAUGUUGAUCUGAGUGGAUCGGCACCUUUACCACUGGUGAACAGAUCUGAAAUCACAGAACUCAAAGAUCAAACCCCACUGGUUGGACCUCCCGAGGGUAAUGAAAAUUAACUUGAUGGAUCACAACCAGUAUCGGAAAACAGUUCAAUAGGGAAGGUUGGCCUAACCACCGGAUACGGAAUGGGAGUAAUGAAUCGUGCAAUUAAAAAGUUCCAAUUGAAACCAAGUUUUGGAAACCAACGUCCUCAAAUUUCAGAGUGUUCUAAGAGUGUGGGAGCAAGAAAGCAACAUGAAAUCAUCUGCGAUGAUGUUCCAACCACGGACACAGCUCCAAUGAGAUGAUCUGAGUGGAUCAACACCCUCACCAUCGACCAACAAUUCUGAAACCAUGGAACUCGGAGAUCAAACCCCAUUGGUUGGACCUCCCGAGAAUAAUGAUGAUCUAGAUGGACCAACACCUUUACCACUGGUGAACAGAUCUAAAAUCACGAAACUUGGAGAUCAAACCCCACCGGUUGGACCUCCCGAGGGUAAUGAACUUGAUGGAUAACAACCAAUAUCGGAAAACAGUUCAAAGGGGGUUAGGUUGGCCUAACCACCGGAUACAUAAUGGGAAUAAUGGGGUAUUGCUCAACUUUUUUUCACCUGUCUAAUUCCUAUAUGAUGCCUUUAUCACACGUAGGCUCACCUCACCUGGGUGAUAUGACAAACUUGGUUUGGCUAUUGAAAGAUAAUUAGGAUCAGAUGUAUAUUUUGUUUUUUUAUUUUUGACUUCUUAUUUUAUGGUUAUUUAGUAUUUCACUGGGGUUUCAUUUAGGUUUGUGGUUCUUGGAUAGUGCUUAGGUCUUUGUGGAGAAGGAAGGAGAAUAGGCGGAAGAGGAGUGGGGAGGAGGAAGUAGGUCCCACAUGCAAUUAAAAAUGAGUUGAAUAAAAAUAAAAGAAUUGAGGUUAGGGCAUUUUAGGAAGUUUAUUUUUAUUUUUUCUUGAAUCACACGAGCAAUAACUAAUUUUGGCGAUUGAGUAAAUAUUUUCAAGGUUGAAACUAGUCAAUGUAAAAUAAAUUUGAAACUUACUUAUCUUGUAAUUUAUUUUCUUAUCUAGUGGAUCUAGGUAAUUUCCCCUUAUAUUCAUGAGUCAUAUUGGAGAAUAUACUUGUGAGGGCAUAUUGGGAACUUCAGUUUAAAUUUAUUAAUAACAGUAUGAAGAAGGGAAAGAAUGAAUCAAUUCUUCCUAUUCUUUUGCAA